ACUUCCCUUUACCAGUUCACACCAGAAAACAGGUUUGUGGCUGUUAAUAUUUCUUCCAUACCAAGACAAACUUCUUGGGCUUUUUUCCUUCCCUUUAUCUGCUGCCUCACUUUUUGUUCAGCUUGAUCAUGAAACUUUUAGGACUUGUUUUUUAAUCUCCAACGCUCCCCUGGAACUUCUGUUGAACUUACUGAGACGGACACACGCUGUGAAAUCAUCAGAGAACAAGCUGAGCAUUUCUCAGAUCUCAGUGUCCACCCAGGCACCAGAAUCCUCUGGAGAAGUUGUGCAAACACAGGCAGGUGGGCCCCAGCAUUAGACUUUCUGAUUCCAUAGGUUUGGAGGAUGAGCUGAGAUACAGACUUCAAGUAAACUCAAAGCUCAUUUUCCAGUCAAACCAUCACUUGCUCAAGUUGGAAUUCCUUUUUGCUGGUAACACUCACUCAGCUAAAUUGGUUGGCAUACUUAGCCUAAGGAAGAAGCUUCAUGCAUAUGAGCUGGACAAUCCUGGAUGGACAUCACGACCCUUCUAGCAAAUUUCUGAAAAGCAUGUUUAUCCUAGAUCCUAGAUGGUUUGUAUGUAGUCCCAGGUGAUUCCAAUGUAUGGUCUGCAGUUUUAGCUUGAGUAAUCAUUCAUUCCCCAUGAUUAGAUAUGGUCUGAACUUGCUGGAUAUUCUCUUAACAUAAAGUAUAAGUCUAGGAUUCAAAGGGCCAUUUGGCACCACGACGGUUGUAGAGAGCCACAAUAAUA
rnacentral:sRNA from 1 species